rnacentral:rRNA from 1 species
UUCCGGUUGAUCCCGCCGGAGGCUACCGCUAUUGGAGUUCGAUUAAGCCAUGCGAGUCGAGAGUCUUAGGGACUCGGCGUACCGCUCAGUAACACGUGGGUAACCUGCCCUAUGCUGGGGAAUAACCUCGGGAAACUGAGAAUAAUGCCCCAUAGUCCACUACGCCUGGAACGGUGAGUGGAUCAAAGCUCCGGCGGCAUAGGAUGGGCCUGCGCCGUAUCAGGUUGUAGGGGGUGUAAAGUACCCUCUAGCCAUCAACGCGUACGGGUGUUGGGAGACAUUGCCCGGAGAUGGAUUCUGAGACACGAAUCCAGACCCUACGGGGUGCAGCAGGCGCGAAAACUUGGCAAUGCGAGCAAUCGUGACCAGGGAACUCCAAGUGCUUGGGGUAAGACCCAAGCUUUUCUUGACUCUUCAAAGGUCUUGGAAUAAGGGGUGGGUAAGGACGGUGCCAGCCGCCGCGGUAAUACCGGCGCCUCAAGUGGUAGUCGCUUUUAUUGGGCCUAAAACGUCCGUAGCCGGUCUGGUGCAUUCGUGGGUAAAUCAACCCGCUCAACGGGUUGAAUUCUGCGAGCACGGCCAGACUUGGGACCGGGAGAGGUGUGGGGUACUCUCAGGGUAGGGGUAAAAUCCUGUCAUCCUGAGAGGACCACCUGUUGCGAAGGCGCCACACUAGAACGGAUCCGACGGUCAGGGACGAAACCUAGGGGCACGAACCGGAUUAGAUACCCGGGUAGUCCUAGGUGUAAACGCUGUGGACUUGAUGUUGGGGGCGCUCCGAGCGCUUUCAGUGUCGAAGCGAAGGUGAUAAGUCCACUGCCUGGGGAGUACGGUCGCAAGGCUGAAACUUAAAGGAAUUGGCGGGGGAGCACUGCAACCUGAGGAUUGUGCGGUUUAAUUGGAUUCAACGCCGGG